UCACGCCGUCGGAUGAGCCCAGAUGAGAUUAGCUGGUAGGUAGGGUAAAGGCUUACCUAGGCGACGAUCUCUAGCGGGUCUGAGAGGAUAGCCCGCCACACUGGAACUGAGACACGGUCCAGACUCCUACGGGAGGCAGCAGUGGGGAAUAUUGCACAAUGGGCGAAAGCCUGAUGCAGCCAUGCCACGUGUGUGAAGAAGGCCUUCGGGUUGUAAAGCACUUUCAGCGAGGAGGAAGCGAUAAAUGCCAAUACCAUUUAUUUUUGACGUUACUCGCAGAAGAAGCACCGGCUAACUCCGUGCCAGCAGCCGCGGUAAUACGGAGGGUGCGAGCGUUAAUCGGAAUAACUGGGCGUAAAGGGCAUGUAGG
rnacentral:rRNA from 1 species